GGGCGAGUGGCGGAAUGGCAGACGCGUCGGUCUCAAAAUCCGAUAUACGUGAGUAUGUGGGGGUUCAAGUCCCCCCUCGCCCACCA
rnacentral:tRNA from 2 species